rnacentral:rRNA from 1 species
AUACGGAGGAUCCGAGCGUUAUCCGGAUUUAUUGGGUUUAAAGGGUGCGUAGGCGGCCUUUUAAGUCAGCGGUGAAAGUCUGUGGCUCAACCAUAGAAUUGCCGUUGAUACUGGGUGGCUUGAUUGCGGUCGAGGUUGGCGGAAUUCGUUGUGUAGCGGUGAAAUGCAUAGAUAUGACGAAGAACACCGAUUGCGUAGGCAGCUGACCAGACCGCAAAUGACGCUCAUGCACGAAAGUGCGGGGAUCGAACAGGAUUAGAUACCCUGGUAGUCCGCACAGUAAACGAUGAAUACUUGUUUUCGGCGAUAUAAUGUCGGAGGCAAAGCGAAAGCGAUAAGUAUUCCACCUGGGGAGUACGCCGGCAACGGUGAAACUCAAAUGAAUUGACGGGG